GGAGAACCUUUUUGGAGACACAAAGAUGUGUGAUUUUUUUAUUGCUUUGCAGAAUUGGCUUCAAUAUACCCCUUUUCUCUCCUGUCAUCUAAAAUUUCAAAGUUAGUAUUGUCUAGUACAGUGGGUUUCAGUAUGCUUAGGCUGAAAGAAUAAUGUAUCCCAUAGUAGUUCCUAGGACAAAUUAUAACUUACUAUCAUGAAUCUGCUCACAAAGUACUCAUUUAUUUGAAGUAUUAAUUAAUUUAUAUCCAAUAAUGGAUUAAUAAUAAAAUCUUUCUGGCUUAUAUAGUAGCUACAAGGUAGGAAAGUAGAAUGUUAUUAAUAGUAAGAAAGAUUAUUUUCUUAAUAUAAUAUUCAUGAAGAGCUUCUUUACUGAGCAUAUUAAAAGACUAGCCACUUUGCCUUCUCUGCCAGUGUGUACUCAGUUACAUGAGAGCUCUUUAAUGCUUGGAACAGGAAGAGUAUCAUUGCAGCACAGGUAUGAGUGGGACCCUCCUUUCCUUUGAAAGCAAACACAAUCAGUAAUAUUUUUUAGGUUGUGGUUUUUUUGUUGUUGUUUUGAGACAAGCUCUCAUGUAGCCCAGGCUGGCUUCAAACUCUCUAUGUAACUAAACAUGGCCUUCAACUCAAUCCUAUGGUCUGUACUUCCCAAGUACUGAAUUACAAGUAUUGAGUGUGUAUCACACUCAGUUCAUGUUCAAUGCUAUCUUUUUCAACUAAGACUGAUGAUGAUCCAACCUAUUUUCAACAAGAAUGAACUAAUAUUAGAAACUAGUUUUAAGUCAUUAUCCAUAUAAAAAAAUUUACUACGGGACAAUGGAUAAUUAAGCAUAUAAACAUAAAACUUUGUGUAAAAAUAUGAUGGUUUACCUCCAUUUUUCUGUAAGAUUUGUAUUUUUUAUAAAAUAGAUUCAUAUCUCGAAAACAUGAUUAUUUUAAAAUCUAAAUAACUGGUAACACAGUAUGAUAUUUUACUCAUUCUAUAUUUAUCAUUGCUAUAACAUUUCAUUUAUCCAACAUAAAAUAAAUGUUUGCACUAGCUAUGUAACUCAACUUCUGACUCUAAGGCAUUUCCAAGUAGUGUCUUAACAAAGGUAUAAGAAAGUAUGUUGAGAGCAGAACUGGGCAAAUGGAUUCAGACUCGAAUAUUCUGGAGUAUUUCCUAUGCCUGCUUACCUGGAUGGGAACACACCGAGCAGUGAACCACUUUUUUUGCUGCUGAUUGUGGAACAGAGUAGCCAGGUUCUUCAGUCCACUGGUUAAACCUAUUAUUAGAAAAUGGUUUAAAAAAAGAAAGAAAAAAUUGAGUUAAUUAAAAUAGAGUCACAAAUGUCAGUUUAUCAUAUUCUCUUUAACCUGUCAAAUUACUUUUUCUUUGGUGAUUAUAAACUCACUUGCUUGGCCUGGGAAAAUGUUUAGUUUUUCUACAAGCUUUACAUGUGGUUCCAGGUAGAGAAGAAUUCCAAAAGGAGGCAGAACGUAAACACCUAUAUGUUUGUAUAGAUUAUAUCUAAUCACACUCAUUCUGUUCGUUUGUUUUGUUUUGUUUUGUUUUCCUUUUUUUGAUGAGUUUGUCAGGGUCAAAAUAAUUUGUAUAUGCCUUUUUUCAUACUGUUUCUGUGUGCCAGAGUAUAAAACAAGCAGAAUCAUAUGAACAAUCAUUAUUUUGAAUGAGAAAUAAGGGUAAAGAGUAAUUUAAUGCCAGGUUUUAAGAGAUAUACAUGUAGAGGGGCGUGGUGGUGCAUGCCUUGGACCCCAGCACUUUCGAGGCAGAUCUUUGAGAGUUCAAGGCCAGCCUAAUCUACAAAGAGAGUUCUAGGACGGCCAGGGCUGUUAUACAGAGAAACCUCGUCUCAAGAAAAACAAAAACAACCCCCAUCCCCCCAUAAACUUAACCAACACCAACCAACCAAAAAUCCAAAAACCAAACAAACAAAAAGUGUGUAUGCAACUGCUAAGAUUUUGAGUAACAAAAGUUUUGAUUUUGGCUGAUGUUUCAGGUUACCAUAAUACUAUCAAGGACAGCUAGAUACUUCUGAGAAAGCAUUAAGUGAGUUCAAAGGGCAAUGUGUGGUGCUGAGGUAAUUAAUUAGCUGUUGGAAAUUUUGAUUCCAUUUAUGAAAAACUAAGUAUAUUAAAAAUCUAUAGUAAUAGUUUCUGGAUAAAUGACAAAGCUUCAAAGAAUAAAAAAAUAAGGAAAAUAAUAUAAAUUAUUAAAAUUAGGAGAAUGGAUAAUUAUAAAAGAUAAUUAUAUGGUUAAAUGAUUCCAAAUAGUACAUAUUUGCUGAUACUAUUUCAAAGAGAGUAACUUAGAAUUUGGUAAGUACCAUAUUUACUUGUAUUUCAUUCUUUAUUUAUUUUUAUUUUCUUUUCCCUUUUUUCGGAGCUGGGGACCGAACCCAGGGCCUUGCGUUUGCUAGCACAGUAACCACAGAACUCUAUGAGAACGUGCUGGAGACUUAGCUCUACCAACAGCUUUACAGCUGGAAGAGAAGCACUGAAGGAAAGAGUGCAGUGAUCUGAAGGACUCUCCAGGUGUUUCUUCUCUUUUGCCUCCUUAGAGUUUCUUCUGAGGCACACACCACCUCAGAACUAAUUAGGGGCAAUCAAGACUAUGUUCAGCUUCCCAGGUCUCUUUUCUUUCUUAUUUUAUAUCUUAUUGUCAUCUUUUAUAAACUAUUGCUUUCAUCAAGCACAUAUAACUACAAGUUUUUAAGAGAAUAAGUAGUUUGUAAAUUUCAAUGUAAUCUGUAUCUUAACCACAUCCUCAGCUGUACCACUCAAAUUAGAAUUAACGUAUUACUAAAUGUAUAGCAGCAAGACAAGGAAUAAAGCUAAAGUCUUUUAAGUUUUAUUGUAGUGUUGUGUAUGCAUGUUUAUACAGUGUGUUUGUGUCUUGUCUGCUGUGUAUGUGCGAGUGCAGGCAGGCAUGUAUAUGCCACUCUGCGUAUGCAGAAGUCAGAGGACAACUUUUAUGCAUUACUUCUCUCUAUCACGAAUGCUAGCAAUCGAAUGAACUCAGGUGGUCAGGCUUGUCCUGUUACCUACUGAGCCAUGUAGCUGGCCCAAAUUAAAAGCUCUUUAUCAAUUUUACUUGUUGAGUAUUCAGCAUGCAAUAUUGUAUUUCAUUUAUAGAAAUUAAUGUAGUACCAAAGCAUCAAAUACAAAAUUAUUUUAAUGUUAUGUUCAUCUUUACUGGAUACCAAUGAUCUGAAACAGCCUAUGAAUAAUGCACACGGUUAUAAUGAUACACUAGCCCUCAGACUGUGCAGUGAAGCAAUAGGCACCACACACUUAAGAGCAUUAGUGUGAGCAUAUAUCCAUUUCCUUCCUUCAAAAGACUUCAAGGUAAGUAAAAAUUAAUGACUGAAAACGAGUAGUUCAAAAACAACCCUUUCUGUAGUAGGAUUAACUACUAAGUCCAACAAGCACAAAUGUCUGAUAUGGAAUAAAAAACUGUUUAGUUACCUCUGAAGCAAACUUUGACCUUUCAAAAUCUGCAAAAGUUUUAACGCUUGUUCUUUUCCAACUCCAGGCACUCCCUUCCAUAAAGUGGAAAAAAAACCUUAAAUGUUAAUAACAGGAAUAAUAGGGACACAUAUAAAGAGAUAGAACAGUGACCAACCGCAUUUUUACACAGCAUAUUUAAGAAAAGGUUAGCCUGUAAUUCCUAUUGCUCUAUGAACAAACUGACACGGUGUGUGAGGCAGGGAGUCUGAAUGGCUUUCUUCAGUCAUGACACUGCUUAGUGCAGCAGCAAUAGCACUGCACGUGUGUGUUACUAGACAAGGACGAUGACUACACAGCUCACAAACAAGUAAAGCCAUAAUAAAAACUAGCACUGCUAUAAAACAAGAGCAAUCCUUAAACGUCCUUGAUAAGUUGGUCAAGCACACAUUUUAACUGCUUUUGAGCUUAAAGCUGUGGAUUGCUUACUGCACUCUCCUUUGCCACAUUUAUUGUCACAAGGGACAAAUGUAUAAAGGUGGCUUUUAGCAUUCUGAUUGUCUUUGCAUUUAUUUACUUAUUAGUUUGUGUGUAUGUGCAGGAUGUGUGUGAGCAUGUGUGAUGCUGGGGACAACAUACUAUGACAGGGACUGCCAGCAGUAGGCCCGUGACAGCUCCUUGUAAAGAAGGGUGGUCCUGAGAAGCAGGAGACACAUCCCUCCAGAGGACCCGCCAUCUGAAAUAAGAGGCUGCCUGCAGUAGGCCGGGAUGGAGACAUCUCAGAAGCUUGAGGCAGCUUCUUAUAAAAAAGGGUGGCGUCUGGGACCCUGAGAAACAGGAGACAUCCUUCCAGGGGACCCGCCAUCUGAAAUAAGAGGCUGCCUGCAGUAGGCCGGGAUGGAGACAUCUCAGUAGCCCACAGCAGCUCUUAGUAAAAAGGUUGUUCCCAUUUCUCCUACCCUUAGCCCUGGACAACGUCUGUAUAGACUUCAUUCGUGCAUGACUGCCUUUCAGUUGGCCUUGGUGUGCAUAAUUAUUCUAUUAUAUCUGUCUUCCCUACUUCUUUCUUCUUCUGCUCUGGUGAAUUCUGUAAAACUAGAUGUUCCUUGAUGUAAUGAUUCUUAAACAAUUGGAAAUUGAGGCAUAGGGCACAGCACAGCCCUAAUGGCUCACUCAGGUGCAUGCUGUGUGUUCUCAUCUUGGAAACAAUGAAAUAAUUGCACAAUAGUAGUUCCAGAUUAAUGCUUGACUUGAAAAGAAACUUUAAAGAAGUUGUUAGAAAAUGAAUUAGAGCCAACAUUGGGACCUUAAGAAAGGAAAAAGUUGGGGUUGGGGAUUUAGCUUAGUGGUAGAGCGCUUGCCUAGCAAGCGCAAGGCCCUGGGUUCGGUUCCCAGUUCCGGGGAAAAAAAAAAAAAAAAAAAAAAAAGAAAGGAAAAAGUUAUUGAAGUUAGGAAAUAAGUUUUACAUAACAUUUGAGAGUGGUUCCUGGAUAAGGAAGUAUAGAAUAUAUAAAAUUAUAUACUAGUAAAACUAAGUCAAAAUACUGGCAUUCUUAUAAGAGUCAUUAUGUGCAAGGAACAGAGAGCCAGCAGAACUACUGAGUUAAGGGUUAACUUGAUUCUUUCUGGCCGCUGCCUGGCAACUUUGCCCAUGUCAUUUAUCAUUAGAGCUUCACAGGAAAAUGCAAGUAGCUGACCUCAGAGCUUUGAGCUCUUUAGUAUAAUAAGUCAAAAGUUAAAGUUUAAAUAAUGAUAAGUUUACAAUUAUUAUUAUUUUGGCCAGAGGCCUGGGAAUAGGGAAAGCUUGAAACUUUGAGGAAUAAUUGUAAUUCUUAGUUCUUUGUGGGAUGUGGUUAUUCUUUUGAAUUUGAUUUGGCAAUGAUUAUACAAUGUCUUUUUUCUACCUGCUUUUGGAUUAUCAAUAAAAGACUGGGGCAAGAGAAAGGCUGCAGAGUAGAUGAGAGAGCAAAUGUGAGAGCAAAUCUCAGAGCGAAUGAGAGAGCGAGUCUGAGAGCAAAUCGAGUGCAAGAGCAUGAGAAGAGCAUGUGCAGAGUGAGUGAAGAGAGAAUGUGAGGUGUGUAUGAAGAGUGUGUGUGUGAGUGAAAGGAGUGCGUGUGGUGUGUGUGAGAUGUGUGUGAGGUGUGUAUGAAGAGUGUGUGAGAAUGAAAGGGUACUGAACAGAGGUGUGCAUGAGUGUGGGAAUUCGAGAAAAGAAAAAUGCAAUAGAAAAAAACAGUACGCAAAAAAACAGAAAACAAACAAACAAACAAACCAGAGAAUGCAGAGUGUGUGCAGCCUCAAGCUGAAAGAGAGGGAGAGGAAGAGAGAGAGAGAAACUUUAAGCCUUGAAAUUGCCUGUCAGUUUGUACCCAGAGUAGUCUGUGUAUGUUUAUUAUGUGCCUUCCAGAUAUCCCUGCUUCCAGUUGAGAACCCCGAACCUGUGUCCAGGCUGGACCCCGGCAAUGUGCUAUGGCACAGAGGUCAAUUUUAUGUACUUGGCUUUCCCCUUCACCUUUAUGUGUAUCGCAGGCAUGGACUCAGGUGGUCAGGCUUGCGGAGCAGUCAGUGCUUGCAACCAUGGAGCAUCUCAUCCACCCAACUGACUUCUGUUAGUGACUGUCUUAUACUUUAAACGCAAAUGAAUCCAUAAUUAUAUGCCCAAACUAUGCUCAUGAAUACACACACCACAUGUGAAAUAUGAAAGAAAGAUAAUGAGAAAGCGAUGAAUGAGCUCGGCUUGCCUUCGGAAGGUAAUCACAACCAAGAAGUACCGCCAGUCCCACCAGAGCAUCUCGAUCCAAGCCUAGCUUACUCUUGAUAGAUGAUACCGUGUAACAGUCAACAUGUGGAUCCUACAGAAGAAGCACAGAAGUUUUAUCUUCAAAGCGUUUUUUGUUAAACAGAAAGAAUCAGUUGUCAUUUAGACCUUUUCUAAAAAUUUAAACAAGAAAAUUAUACUCAUCACAACAGUAUGGAUAGAAUGUUACAUUUCAAUGAAUGAGUAAAGGGGAGCUGAAAGGUCCUCCCUAUCGGGCAUCUUUCCAAGUCCUGGAAUGUGUCUUGCAUGUUGCUGUGGAGAAGGGAAGUCAUCAACAAUGUAGCCCAGCUGUGAACCCUGGCAGCUACUACGAUGACCAGCAUGAGGAUUGAAUACUGGCACAAAUGUUCUGAGUGUAGCCAGCUGCUUUAUGAUUAGAUCUAAGACUCACCCUCCAGGAGGAAACACAUUCCUGGUACUGUGUAGCUGCCUGAGAAGCCAUGGUUAGGGAGCUCAUAGGUCCCAGAGGUGAACCUACUAUUAUUUUGCUCAGUGGACAUAGUAUUGAACUGCCUUAUAAAUUUGCAUCCGGUAUCCAUGGAUUAUUAGAGUUCUGGGACUUUAUUAGAGAGCAGUGGGCUUUAUGUACAGAGAAUAAGUGUAUGUACAAUAUAUCACCCUUCCUUUCCCCAAGGCUCAGGGACUAUGGUGGAAGAGUGUGCAGAAAGAUUGUUAAGCUAGAGGUUGGGAGGACAGAGGAAAAAGAGUGUCUCAUAAACACAACAGAGCCACUGCACCUGUAAACUCACAGCAGCUGGCUUGCCUGCCAAAGCUGAGGGCAGUCCACAUUUCAGCACUGAGCAGCACAAGCAGGAGAGGCGCAGGAGCCUCCACCCCUAGCUGAGGAACCAUUGACAGCUGAUGGUUUCUGUGGGAGGGAGAGUCAAUUUCCUCUAAGGGUGCAAACUCUAGUAGGUUGCCGGGUAGAUAGCACAUACCCAAUAGUAUAUGGGCAUUACAUUUUUUUUUUUAAAUUUGGUCAACUUAACAUAAUCUAAAGUCAUCUGGAAAGGUGAAACCUCAAUUGAGGAAAUACUUCAGUAAGACUGCUAUGUAGGCAAGUCAUUGGGGGUGCUUUCUUAAUGACUGAUGUUGGUGGGAGCUGACUGUGGAUGGUGCCAUCUUCCAUGAGUUGUAUUUAAAAAAAAAAAAAAAAAAAAGCUGACCAAGCUAUGCGGAGUAAGUCAGAAAACAGCAUUCUCCCAUGACCUCUGCAUCAGUUUUUGCCUCGAGAUUCUUGUAUUGACUUCUCUCGAUGACAAGGAAGUAUGAGUCAAAUAAACCCUUUUCUCCCCAAGUUUUUUUUUUUUUUGGUUGUAGUGUUUAUCACAGCAACAGGAAGCAAACUAGGACAGAGAGAGCAAGGGCGGCAAUUAGAUCUGGGAAGAGUGGGUGCUUAGUCAAAAUACAUUGAACUCAUGUAUAACAGCCUCAAAAUUUUAUUAAAAAUAUUAUAUUAAAAUAAGAUAAACCUUCAUGGUAGGCAAUUUC